UGCUCGUAUCAAGAAUCGAACUUGAGAUUUUGCCGUGUAAAAGCAACGUUAUACCAUUUAACUAUACAAGC
rnacentral:tRNA from 1 species